UACGUAGGGUGCAAGCGUUGUCCGGAAUUAUUGGGCGUAAAGAGCUCGUAGGCGGUCUGUCGCGUCGGCUGUGAAAACCCGGGGCUCAACCCCGGGCCUGCAGUCGAUACGGGCAGACUAGAGUGCGGUAGGGGAGACUGGAAUUCCUGGUGUAGCGGUGAAAUGCGCAGAUAUCAGGAGGAACACCGGUGGCGAAGGCGGGUCUCUGGGACGGUACUGACGCUGAGGCGCGAAAGCGUGGGGAGCAAACAGG
rnacentral:rRNA from 1 species